rnacentral:rRNA from 1 species
CCUACGGGAGGCUGCAGUGAGGAAUAUUGGUCAAUGGGCGCGAGCCUGAACCAGCCAAGUCGCGUGAGGGAAGACGGCCCUAUGGAUUGUAAACCUCUUUUGUCGGGGAGCAAAAGACGCCACGCGUGGCGUUCCGAGAGUACCCGGAGAAAAAACAUCGGCUAAAUCCGUGCCAGCAGCCGCGGUAAUACGGAGGAUGCGAGCGUUAUCCGGAUUUAUUGGGUUUAAAGGGUGCGCAGGCGGAAGAUUAAGUCAGCGGUAAAAUUGAGAGGCUCAACCUCUUCGAGCCGUUGAAACUGGUGUUCUUGAGUGAGCGAGAAGUAUGCGGAAUGCGUGGUGUAGCGGUGAAAUGCAUAGAUAUCACGCAGAACUCCGAUUGCGAAGGCAGCAUACCGGCGCUCAACUGACGCUCAUGCACGAAAGUGUGGGUAUCGAACAGGAUUAGAUACCCCUGUAGUC